rnacentral:rRNA from 1 species
AGAGUUUGAUCCUGGCUCAGGACGAACGCUGGCGGCGUGCCUAACACAUGCAAGUCGAACGGAUUUGUGAGGUGUGAGGUUAGAGGUUAGAGGUGAGAAAUUCUAAGGAAGAAAUCGGCGCAGGCCGAUUUCAACAAGAUUCUCACAUCCAACUUCUCACCUCGCACUUCGCAAAUUAGUGGCGGACGGGUGAGUAACGCGUGGAUGACCUACCUAUAUGUGGGGGAUAACAGUUGGAAACGACUGCUAAUACCGCAUGUGAUCACAAUUAUAAAGGUUGUGAGGAAAGAUGGCCUCUGUUUACAAGCUGUCGCAUAUAGAUGGGUCCGCGUCUGAUUAGCUAGUUGGUAGGGUAAAGGCCUACCAAGGCGACGAUCAGUAGCCGGCCUGAGAGGGUGGACGGCCACACUGGGACUGAGACACGGCCCAGACUCCUACGGGAGGCAGCAGUGGGGAAUAUUGCGCAAUGGGGGAAACCCUGACGCAGCGACGCCGCGUGAGCGAAGAAGGCCUUAGGGUUGUAAAGCUCUGUUGUAAGGGAAGAAAGGCAACCGGAGUAAUAUGCUGGUUGUAUGACGGUACCUUACGAGGAAGCCCCGGCUAACUACGUGCCAGCAGCCGCGGUAAGACGUAGGGGGCGAGCGUUGUCCGGAAUUACUGGGCGUAAAGAGCACGUAGGCGGAUAUUUAAGUCAGUUGUGAAAGACCGCGGCUCAACCGCGGGGUUGCAAUUGAAACUGGGUAUCUUGAGGGCAGGAGAGGUCAGUGGAAUUCCUGGUGUAGCGGUGAAAUGCGUAGAAAUCAGGAGGAACACCAGUGGCGAAGGCGGCUGACUGGACUGGCCCUGACGCUGAGGUGCGAAAGCGUGGGUAGCAAACAGGAUUAGAUACCCUGGUAGUCCACGCCGUAAACGAUGGAUACUAGGUGUGGGAGGUAUCGACCCCUUCCGNNNNNNNNNNCCUUACCAGGUCUUGACAUCCAGAGAAUCCUUUGGAAACAAGGGAGUGCCUUUUUAAGGAGCUCUGAGACAGGUGGUGCAUGGUUGUCGUCAGCUCGUGUCGUGAGAUGUUGGGUUAAGUCCCGCAACGAGCGCAACCCUUGCUAUUAGUUGCUAACAGGUGAUGCUGAGCACUCUAAUGGGACUGCCCGUGACAAGCGGGAGGAAGGUGGGGAUGACGUCAAAUCAUCAUGCCCUUUAUGAUCUGGGCUACACACGUGCUACAAUGGGUGGUACAGAGAGCUGCGAAGCCGUGAGGUGGAGCGAAUCUCAAAAAGCCAUUCUCAGUUCGGAUUGCAGUCUGCAACUCGACUGCAUGAAGUCGGAAUCGCUAGUAAUCGCGAAUCAGCACGUCGCGGUGAAUGCGUUCCCGGGCCUUGUACACACCGCCCGUCACACCACGAAAGUCGGCAACACCCGAAGCCGGUGACUCAACCAGAAAUGGAGAGAGCCGUCUAAGGUGGGGUUGGUGAUUGGGGUGAAGUCGUAACAAGGUAUCCGUACCGGAAGGUGCGGAUG